rnacentral:rRNA from 1 species
GACGAACGCUGGCGGCGUGCCUAAUACAUGCAAGUAGAACGCUGAAGGAGGAGCUUGCUUCUCUGGAUGAGUUGCGAACGGGUGAGUAACGCGUAGGUAACCUGCCUGGUAGCGGGGGAUAACUAUUGGAAACGAUAGCUAAUACCGCAUAAUAGUAGAUGUUGCAUGACAUUUGCUUAAAAGGUGCAAUUGCAUCACUACCAGAUGGACCUGCGUUGUAUUAGCUAGUUGGUGAGGUAACGGCUCACCAAGGCGACGAUACAUAGCCGACCUGAGAGGGGGCUCGGCCACACUGGGACUGAGACACGGCCCAGACUCCUACGGGAGGCAGCAGUAGGGUAUCUUCGGCAAUGGACGGAAGUCUGACCGAGCAACGCCGCGUGAGUGAAGAAGGUUUUCGGAUCGUAAAGCUCUGUUGUAAGAGAAGAACGAGUGUGAGAGUGGAAAGUUCACACUGUGACGGUAUCUUACCAGAAAGGGACGGCUAACUACGUG